rnacentral:lncRNA from 1 species
AGGCGCCCUGGAACUCCCCGCGCGUGUUGUGACCCAGAAUUCCCGGGGCUGUGGAAGAGACCAUAGACUCAACAGGAGGGGGAGUCCUGGGUAGCGCGCCGGUCUAAAUCGUUACUUGGCGGAAAGUUCCCAUGAGUCUUUGCCAGCGUCCCCCUCCUUUUGUGAGGAUUGGGAUAUUCCGACUCCUUAAGGGCCUGGCGCACAUAAGGUGUGACCUUUUCAUUCCCGUUGUUAUGGAGGUAGGCUCUCUAGGAAUCUGGGAGUAGUAGCUGGGGGGCAAGAGCAAAUAAAGAGCUCGAGCUUCUGUGGUCUCUGGGGAGAUGUUCCCGGGAAGCCUGUCUAGAGGGCGGAGGGCAGCUGUUGAGAUGGCGUGGCUCCCCGGCUCCUGCGCCCGCGUGGCUUUCGCGGCGGGCGCUGCGGCCCGGUAUUGGACAGCCUGGCAGGGCAGCGCGGGGCCGAAUCCGGCUGCCGUGGCUGAGGCUCAUGGAUCACUCUUUUGUGGUAGGGCCACAUCUGCCAGAGCCUGGAGUCUGCGAAGGCCGGGACCCGGUUCCCCGGCCCACAGUGGGGGUGUGCAAACCCGAGAGAACUGGGUUGCAAAUUCGUGAAGAAUCAGCAUCAUGUUUGGCAGCUGAGUAUUGGAGCCAGGAGCCUGCCAUGAGGUUUUGAGAACAGAGUGCUGUUUUAGAGCUGGCAGCAGCAUCUCAGCCCAAGAGAAGGUUAUAUUCCCAGAGGAUGUCAGUCCCAAGGACCAGUAGCUGCCAUCAGUUUGGAUUCUGAAAACUAACUGGCAUCAACACUGGGUGUAGAAACAUGCUUGCCUUAUGUAUCAGAGGACAUGCUCAGCAGAUCCAAGAGAUAUAUUUGGCAACUUUUUCUAGAAAAGGCACAUUGGGUAUCAUUCAUUACAUUCUUGAGUUUUUUUGGGUUUUUUUUUUUUUUUUUGAGACAGUCUUGCUGUAUUGCCCAGGCUGGAGUGUGGUGGCACAAUCACAGCUCAUUGCAUCCUCAAUCACCCAGGCCUAAGCAAUCCUCCCACCUUGUAGCUGGGACUACAGCUCACAGCACACCUGGCUAAAAUUUUUUUUUUGUUGAGACGGAUUCUCUAUGUUGCCCAGGCUGGUCUCAGGCUCCUGGGCUCAGAUGGUCCUCCUGCCUCAGCUUCCAAAGGCACAGGCCAAGUUGUAGCUUUGUCCCUUGCCAUCAUGCCCAACAAGAGGUUCUAUACCUUUUAAUGAAUUGACUUUCAUAAAUUGGUUAUGUUGGUGGGCAAAGUUCUUUAAGCUGGAAAUUGUAAAUUCCUCCUGAAAUGUUUUUUCAUGCAGUUACCAUGAACUAAUACUACAAUAAAGGAUGGUCUUGGGUGUCAAUUCUUGAAAAUGUGUAUUUGAAGAAAAAGUAAAUUUCGCCUACUGUUGUCAGAUAUUAGCAGUCCAGAUAUUCGCUCUAGCUUGUAAACUUCCCUGUGGUCAGCCUAAGCUCUUAACCCCCUAUUCUACAGCUUUAGACUGAAGGCAAAAGCUCAAAGCAUUUAAGGCCUCCUCAAUUUCGGCCCCUGCUGCUCUGUGCUCUGUUCCUUGGUGUAGCUUUGUUCCAGCUCCUGCAGCAUUGCACCAUUCCUAACCACAACCUUAACAGCAUGUAGGGCCCCAUACUCUAGGCCCCAUCUUGCUGUCUUCCUGUGUUGGAAUCUUGCCUACCAAGGCCUGUCAAGAGGGUCCUCCCCCAUACUGUUUGCCCACAAGGUUCAAGAGUGAUUGGCUCCCAGUCUUCCUGGACUGAACUACUUGGAUCUAGGGGUUGCCUGUUAUUUAGAAGAGAUCCCUUAACUGGUAGGGCCCUUUCAGUAGGACAGUAUUUGGGUAAGGGGAGGGUAUAAGAUGAGAACCUUUGCUAAGUUAGGUUCCUUUGGGAGCCUCCAGUUUGUUUCUCCCUCUCCCCAGCCAUCUUGUUGGAUCUGCCAAGGGAUUGGACUCCUUCAUUGUCCUAGGUUUUUAAGGUUUUAAAGCCCACCUUCUGCAGUCGGUUUUCUGGAAUGUGUUGGUGGAUUACUUAAGAGUUAUGGGGAAAGAGUUCUUACGGCCUGUCUAGGUCAGUGAAGUCAUACUGGCAAGUGACAAGAAGGAAGCCAGGUUUGUCACUUACCCUGCAUGCUAAGGACAUCAGAGCCCACAUAGAAGUCUGGUAGUUUUUCAGCCAGCAGUGGGUAGGGAAGGUGGAUAGGGGAUUUCUGAACAGGACUUUAUGCCUGUAUGCAUGGGCACCAUGUCUGUCCUGAGCACUACCACAUGGCAUCGUAGGCUGCUCUGUCAAAGGAUAUAGCGAUAGCUGGUCCUAUGGGCAGAUGCCUAGAAUCAAGGUGGGCCUCAGAAAUAGGGCUGGGUCUCCAUAAGGAGGUAGGCCACGUUCAGUCCACCCCUAGCAUAGAUGGAACUGGGGUCUCGGGCAACCAGGAGUUACAGGAAUUUUGCUAAAGAUUCCCACCUUCCUUGAGUGGGGACACAUUCCUCUGGUUGGAGCUUGUUCCCCUAAAUGAAAAAUGUAAUGCAGUACAUGUAGGGGCCCUACUGUAUUCUUUUUCUGGGGGAAAGCUCUUGGUGUUCACAAUGGCUCAGGCUUACAGUACCUCCAGCCAUGUGCCCAUUUCCACAAGUCUUUGGGGAAGGCCAUGAGCUGAGCUGAGAGGGUUCUCUGGGGCCUGGGAUGACUUAAGAACCAAAUGGCAGAUAAUGGGAUAGGGGGCAGAUGCAGAGGACCAACGGGAAGUUUUAACACAAAUCCCCUUCCCCAGAUGAUAUGGUUUGCCUUUCUGUAGGUGGGUGGCCCAGGCCAAUUUUUGGCAAUAUCCUUAACCCACCUGAU